rfam:Candidatus Gottesmanbacteria bacterium RIFCSPLOWO2_01_FTLL_39_12b rifcsplowo2_01_scaffold_976, whole genome shotgun sequence.
GGACGCGUAGCUCAGUGGCAGAGCGUUUCUCUUAUAAAGAAAAGGUCCUUGGUCCGAUCCCAAGCGCGUCCA